UACGUAGGGGGCAAGCGUUGUCCGGAUUUAUUGGGCGUAAAGAGCGUGUAGGCGGCCGUACAGGUCAGCUGUGAAAACUCGAGGCUCAACCUCGAGACGUCGGUUGAAACCGUACGGCUAGAGUCCGGAAGAGGAGAGUGGAAUUCCCGGUGUAGCGGUGAAAUGCGCAGAUAUCAGGAGGAACACCGGUGGCGAAGGCGGGUCUCUGGGCAGUAACUGACGCUGAGAAGCGAAAGCGUGGGGAGCGAACAGG
rnacentral:rRNA from 1 species